rnacentral:rRNA from 1 species
UGGGGAAUUUUCCGCAAUGGGCGAAAGCCUGACGGAGCAAUACCGCGUGAGGGAUGAAGGCUCUUGGGUCGUAAACCUCUUUUCUCAGGGAAGAAACCUGACGGUACCUGAGGAAUAAGCAUCGGCUAACUCCGUGCCAGCAGCCGCGGUAAGACGGAGGAUGCAAGCGUUAUCCGGAAUUAUUGGGCGUAAAGCGUCCGCAGGUGGUUUUUCAAGUCUGUUUUCAAAGCGCGAGGCUCAACCUUGUAUCGGGAAUGGAAACUGAAAGACUAGAGUUCGGUAGGGGUAGAGGGAAUUCCAGGUGUAGCGGUGAAAUGCGUAGAUAUCUGGAAGAACACCAGUGGCGAAAGCGCUCUACUGGGCCUGAACUGACACUGAGGGACGAAAGCUAGGGGAGCGAAAGGGAUUAGAUACCCCUGUAGUC